GUAUUUAUAUGAAAGUGUCAUCUACCUCAUUAAUGAAACAAUACAAAAUAUCAGCACCUUUUCUUUAAAAGAAUUCUUAAUAUAAAUGGGAUGAAGAAUACACUGACAUUUUAUUGCAGUAAGAGCCAUGGAUGUUGCUGUGGAUUGCAAGAUUUUUAUUUGAUUUCUGUGAAAUCCCAAGAACUACUUCCUGAUUUUCUGUAUGUUACUUGAAUGGUCACAGGGCACAGAGUGUACUAUCAAAGAAAAAUAGACAACAGUGGUCAGCGUAAGAGAUUCACUUGUACUGCCAAGUGCCUCAAAAUCAUUGUAUGACCCUUUCAUGGGUAGUGAGAAUUUUAUUUCAAUAUCGAUGCUUUCAUUGUUGCCACUAUCUAGCAUGUGCAGUGUAACUUACAUCACUAAUUAACUUGGGAAAUAAUUCUACUGCCACAGUUUAAUCACAGCAAAUGGAAAACCUGACAGGGUAUUGAGAUGACUGGCAGUUGAUAAUUAUGGAAAACUCAUUAUAUUAUGGAAAACCCAUUUACACCAUAAUUGUCAGUUUGGUUGCACUCCCAUAGACCACUGGCAAUUGCUUGGUAAAAUUGUUCUUUCCACUGAGGUGACAGUAACUGUUAUGUUUGUCAUAGGUUGUGGACUGAAAUGCCCUGGAAUGUUCCUGGGUCCCACUGUAAUUCACUUCAAAAACAUUACAAUUCGUUGUUAGCACUUAAAAUUUUAUUCCUUAACAAAGACUGAGGUAUUAGUUGGUCAGAGGGGUAAUGUUUUCACUAUAUUUUACUAAACAUAAUCACAUUUGGCAAGAGACAUAAUUGGAGCAUAUACAGAAGUUGCAGCUUAUACCUGUUCUGUAGAUAGGGAAGAUCUCAGGCUUCCUGACAGUGAGGCAAGUUCUAAUAAUCAUUUUCUUCCAAGGAAGAAAAGAUUGGAUUAUUUGUAGCAAACCUGAGUACGACACUGGGUCUAUCUUCAAAGUACCAGUAUGCUAUGUAAGGAGAUCUUCAACGGACAAAGAACGGAUAAAUAACCAGAUUCUUGCAGCAGCAUUAAAUUACUGUAUGGGUUAAAAACUAGGAAUAGUUAAAUAUGCCUAAUGUCUUUCCUAUUUGUAAACUGUUGAGAAAAGGGAAGGCUAAGCUACUUCAGUUUUUGUUCACUGUGAAAGUAUUUUGUUUACUUCAAGUAAAAGUGCAAAUACUGCAAGAUGAAUGGUGAAGCAAGAAUCCAAACUGUUACUUUGUUCUCAAAGAAAAACAGUCUUGAAAAUAACUUCCAGUGGCUUUUCCUCUGGUUUUUCCUCAGUGCUAAAGGAUCUGUAGAGAUCUGCAGAAAGUGGUGCUUCACUGUUUCAGUAACUGGUCAGUUGGCUUUUCACAAACUGCAGUUGGGAGAGUGCAGACAGUCCAAGACUGUUUCUUUUCCUCAUGGCUUUUGAAAGUGUAGCUUUUGCACCUUUUCCUGACAUCUCUUUUUUCUGAUCCUGUUUAUAUUCCUUUACAUUCCAUCUUUCAGAAGAAAGAUGAUACCAAGACUCUAAGCUUGACCUAAACCAUAGGUCUGUUGAUAUGACUUAAAAUGGAUCAGUAAAAAACAAAUAAAUUUUGCUGUUCUCUCCAAAGCUAUAGGUAUUUCUGAUUGGUUUUGGGUGUCAUGCCCUCCCACCACAUCCCUAAGCCUCAGGAACAAACCAGGAAUUCAGCUGUCAGCAAAGCUGCUUUUGCCACCUGAGCCUGGUGUCCUGUUUUAUUUACUGCUUCCAGUCUUAAAGACAUAGUUCCUGUACUAAGGAAAGUUUGCAGCUGCUCACUGAUGUGUUAAUGACAAUGGACUUACAUCUGCUUUUUAUAAACCCUUGGCUUUUUAUGGACUUAAUAAAAAAGUAAAACAAAAA